AGAGAGGGUGUGGAUACAGAAGACUGAUGAGAAACUGUAACUGAGUAUUGAACUCUGGGCAGUAAUGUGGUGAAUUAUAGCCCAAGCCCUUGAAUAAUGGCUGGAAGUCAUCAAGUCUCUCGAUUUUACCAAGUUGUCAUUCACAUGUUAUAUUAGCUGAAAUUAACUGCUGCAUCCCUCUCAGAAGGGGAAAUGGCUCUCCAUGCCAUGUUACUGCCUCCACGGUAUUGAUUUUGUGUGGAUGGGCAGUGAUUCAUGGGACGGCCCCUCACCUGCUUCCCCAUCAAGUUUUUUUUUCCUAGCUCCAGAUUUUCAAGAGUCUUGUAUGAAUUGCACUAGUUUAGCAACAACCCAGCGUGGAAUCUCACUGUAUUUGCAAAUGAUUGCUUUGAAUUUGAGAGAGUGAGAGAAUCACCAGAAAUAAGAUGAAAUAAAUAAGGCAAGGAGGAAGGUGACAUUUGUAAAUUAUGAGGGAUUAGAGGAGACAGUUCUGACUGGAGAUCUCACCCUUUAACUCAGUGGCACCCCUGGGGAAGAAGAGAGGGGAAGAUGAGGAAACUGAGACAGAGUUUAAGGCACCUGACGGAGGACACACAGCAAGAUGACGACAGAACUAGGCAUUCCGCCUCCAUUGUCCUCAUUUGUCACCUGUGUAAACAGUGCCCUGUGAUUUGGUGUGGCAUGACAGAUGCCUCCAGGCCCAGGUGUCUGGCCCUCCUUCAAGCCUUCUGUUCUCAGGAUGAUGGAGAAGCCGGUUUCUGCCUCCAGGAAGAUGUCAUUUUCCAAUGAACUGAUGAUGGCCCCAAGCCCUAUUAGUUGGCUGGCGCUGUGGAUUUCAAGGUGGCUGUUUAAUGAAUUGUGGGGCCAGUUCACUGCUGGGUCACCACAUCCCCGCUGACCCCUAGCGAUACACUGAUAGACGGGUGUGGGGCUCCCUCCAGCAGCGGGUGCAUUCUGCAGGGUACAGCCCUGGGGCAGUGCAGCAAAUCAGAGUAGUAGCAGAAUCUGUCCCCCCACCCCUGGCUGCCUCCUCUAAGUAACGUGGUUCUUAGAUGAUGAAUUACGGCUGGCUCUGGGAAGUGGGCGAAAUCGACCCGGUCUUCUCUUUG
rnacentral:lncRNA from 1 species